rnacentral:rRNA from 1 species
GAUGAACGCUGGCGGCGUGCCUAACACAUGCAAGUCGAGCGAACCCUUCGGGGUGAGCGGCGGACGGGUGAGUAACGCGUGGGUAACCUGCCCUAUACACAUGGAUAACAUACCGAAAGGUAUGCUAAUACAGGAUAAUAUAGAAAAGUCGCAUGGCUUUUUUAUCAAAGCUCUGGCGGUAUAGGAUGGACCCGCGUCUGAUUAGCUAGUUGGUAAGGUAAUGGCUUACCAAGGCUUCGAUCAGUAGCCGACCUGAGAGGGUGAUCGGCCACAUUGGAACUGAGACACGGUCCAAACUCCUACGGGAGGCAGCAGUGGGGAAUAUUGCACAAUGGGCGAAAGCCUGAUGCAGCAACGCCGCGUGAGCGAUGAAGGCCUUCGGGUCGUAAAGCUCUGUCCUCAAGGAAGAUAAUGACGGUACUUGAGGAGGAAGCCCCGGCUAACUACGUGCCAGCAGCCGCGGUAACAC